CAGAUGUUUAGCCAGCUCGAUGGACUCUGUAGUGUGCUCUGUUGCACUCUGGUUCUGGGAAAUACAUGUGGAAUCAGCUUUGGUAUAUCUGUGUUGGAUAUGUCUAUGAUCCUGCAAGGAGGAGAGACAAAAAAGAGUACUUCCACCUGAGAGAGGCAGAUGGAACUCAACCUUAGGGAAGUAAUCGGAAGAUGGGAGGAAGGAAGUCUAAAAUGUGAAAACCCAGGAUCCCCUUGGGAGUGAUCACUGGUUUUCUGAGAAAGAAUCCUGAAAUCAUUUUGUCGUCCCUACUUUAUCUUCAAGCACCUUCUCUGCUAUUUGAUGAAUAAUAAUGUUUUUUCCUUUGAUAUAAUGAAUAGUGAAAUAUUUGCAGUUUUUUAUUUUUGGGACUGAUUAUUGUACAUUAUUUUACAUUUCCGGGUAUUUUUGUCCUUGGUAUUCAACCUGUCAGUAUGGAACAGUAUAAUUGUGUGAGAUUUGCUCGCUUUUCAUAUUUUUACUGAGCUAUAGUGGCUCCUUUAUGUACCUAAGUGUGUCAGCGUCUUAAUUUUUAAGCAAUUCAAUGUUACGCUCCAUCCUUUCAUAUAUCCCUAAACUAAGUAGAUUCCACAGCAAAGGCUGAACUCACUUCAUCCUUAGGAAGACAGUUGAAUCUACAGUCACUGGAGAAAGCGGUGCAGUCCAUGGACUGAUUCACCCCUGUAGGAUGAAAGAAAUUAUUCUCUGGAGAGGUCUGUUUUGUUAUCUACAAGGGUAUCUAGACAAGUAACAUACACUGGGCCACUACUUUUCUUUUUCUUGGAUAUAUUUCAAGAUAAUCUUAGAUGCCUUCCCUUUAAGUCAGUUUAUGCAUAAAUUUUCUCGAUAAGGCACUGGAUGUUGAGCAGAAAAAAACACCCAGUAAAAGAAAUUGUGGGAAUCUUUUGUUCUGUUUAUGUGGUGUCACUCCGCUGCACGGUCAAAGUUAAACAAACAGUGAAGUACUAUUAAGAAUCUAACAACUGCUUUCACUCUGACUGUGCUGAAACUUCAAAAAUGAAAAAAAAUAGCCUAAACUGAAGGCUAUACUCCUCAUUAACUGUGUUGCAACAUAAAACAGAAUAAUGUCAACACUGUAUUGGCUGUUUUCUGUGUGAGAGGAACAUAGCAGAGUUUGAUGCAUAUUCCCUGUUUGUUUAACACAUUUCUCUCUCUUGGUACUACUUGUAUGAUAUUAGACCUGGUGGUUAUGUUCUGUUGCCUUCUGGGAGGGGGUAGGUAUUUUGACCUUAGAACACGUUGAAAUUACUAAGCUUUACCUUUGACAUCCUCUGGGGACUCAAAUGUUGCAGCACCAUGAAAUGAAGCUGCCAGGAAUUCAGAUUUAUGAAACUUGUUGUAAUGUGUAGAGCAGAUAAGCUGAUAUUUUAGCAUGUUACAUUUAUAAAACUGAUCUCGGUGUCCUUGUUCUUAAAAU